AUACGGAGGGUCCAAGCGUUAUCCGGAAUCAUUGGGUUUAAGGGGUCCGCAGGCGGUCAAUUAAGUCAGAGGUGAAAGCCCAUCGCCCAACGAUGGAACUGCCUUUGAUACUGGUUGACUUGAGUUAUACGGAAGUAGAUAGAAUAAGUAGUGUAGCGGUGAAAUGCAUAGAUAUUACUUAGAAUACCGAUUGCGAAGGCAGUCUACUACGUAUAUACUGACGCUGAGGGACGAAAGCGUGGGGAGCGAACAGGAUUAGAAACCCCAGUAGUCC
rnacentral:rRNA from 1 species